rnacentral:rRNA from 1 species
UGGGUUAGUGGCGGACGGGUGAGUAACGCGUGGGUAACCUGCCUUACACAGGGGGAUAACACUUAGAAAUAGGUGCUAAAACCGCAUAAGCGCACAGCUUCGCAUGAAGCGGUGUGAAAAACUCCGGUGGUGUAAGAUGGACCCGCGUCUGAUUAGCUUGUUGGCGGGGUAACGGCCCACCAAGGCGACGAUCAGUAGCCGGCCUGAGAGGGCGGACGGCCACAUUGGGACUGAGACACGGCCCAGACUCCUACGGAAGGCAGCAG